CUAUUUAUAUACAUAUUGAUCAAAUGUCCCACAAUAACAUGCUGCUGAUACUUUGUGGUACAUUACAUGAGAAUACAAAAAAACCCUGCAUAUAAUUGCACCUAUCAAUGUCAAGCCCCAGAGGGGGUGGGCAUAUGUAGGGUAUUUGAUCAUCAAUUGCAUCCCCACUAUGGGGAUUUUGAUUAGCAUUUUGGGCCUGAGUUAGGGCAAUUUGAACCAAAAUGACUUUUAUUAAUAUAGUAUUUACUGCAAUUUAUUGCAAAAUGGCGGGGUGUUUGACC